rnacentral:lncRNA from 1 species
CGAGUUUAGUAUCAACACCAUGAUCCACAACCUGGAAGACACCCCAAUCCUCACAAGCCUCAACAAUCUUCUUGCAUAUCUCACCCCUCUUGCCAUCAACAUCAUCGAUACCAGCAAGAGAGAUGACAGGGAUAUCAUUACUGAAUUGGUUGUAAGCAACCUUAGGACGCUCAUCUUCAUCACGAACGAAGCUUGCCUGCAAGGUUUUCUCUUCCGCAAGAGCCGUCAGAGUUGAAGGAGCCAUUGAUGUUGCUUAUGACUCUGAACUGAAACCUUUCCCUCACUUAAAAAUGGGUUUGCGUUAAACGAUCGAACGUUAUAAGUUUAGUUGAGAACUGUCGAAU